GUUAUAGUUAAGCAUUGAGGUCUACUACAUAGUUGAUACUGUAGGACAGGCUACAGAAAUAAGAAAACUGGUCUCUCUCAUCAGCAAUAGUGUGGCAAUUCUAAAAUUUCAACAUGCGGCCUACACAGCUAGCUCAUGUGGAGAAGAGAUAUGAGACUGAUUGCGAAUAAAUGUACACUUAGUUUAGUGCAGCAUGGAUCUACAAAGUGAAAUAUAUGUACCAAAAAUAUUAGUUUAUUCAAAACUAAGCCUUUUUCAGCACUGCAGUCAACAGAACAGUGAUAGUGACAAGAAUUGAGACUAUUUAAUACCUCAAACAAUGGAAAAAUACUUCCUGAGAUCAGUUGUCUACUACAUAGUUGAUACUGUAGGACAGGCUACAGAAAUAAGAAAACUGGUCUCUCUCAUCAGCAAUAGUGUGGCAAUUCUAAAAUUUCAACAUGCGGCCUACACAGCUAGCUCAUGUGGAGAAGAGAUAUGAGACUGAUUGCGAAUAAAUGUACACUUAGUUUAGUGCAGCAUGGAUCUACAAAGUGAAAUAUAUGUACCAAAAAUAUUAGUUUAUUCAAAACUAAGCCUUUUUCAGCACUGCAGUCAACAGAACAGUGAUAGUGACAAGAAUUGAGACUAUUUAAUACCUCAAACAAUGGAAAAAUACUUCCUGAGAUCAGUUGUCUACUACAUAGUUGAUACUGUAGGACAGGCUACAGAAAUAAGAAAACUGGUCUCUCUCAUCAGCAAUAGUGUGGCAAUUCUAAAAUUUCAACAUGCGGCCUACACAGCUAGCUCAUGUGGAGAAGAGAUAUGAGACUGAUUGCGAAUAAAUGUACACUUAGUUUAGUGCAGCAUGGAUCUACAAAGUGAAAUAUAUGUACCAAAAAUAUUAGUUUAUUCAAAACUAAGCCUUUUUCAGCACUGCAGUCAACAGAACAGUGAUAGUGACAAGAAUUGAGACUAUUUAAUACCUCAAACAAUGGAAAAAUACUUCCUGAGAUCAGUUGUCUACUACAUAGUUGAUACUGUAGGACAGGCUACAGAAAUAAGAAAACUGGUCUCUCUCAUCAGCAAUAGUGUGGCAAUUCUAAAAUUUCAACAUGCGGCCUACACAGCUAGCUCAUGUGGA